rnacentral:rRNA from 1 species
UCGGGGGAUUGCCUUUAGUACGGCGAGUGAAGCGGCAAAAGCUCAAAUUUGAAAUCUGGUACCUUCGGUGCCCGAGUUGUAAUUUGGAGAGGGCAACUUUGGGGCCGUUCCUUGUCUAUGUUCCUUGGAACAGGACGUCAUAGAGGGUGAGAAUCCCGUGUGGCGAGGAGUGCGGUUCUUUGUAAAGUGCCUUCGAAGAGUCGAGUUGUUUGGGAAUGCAGCUCUAAGUGGGUGGUAAAUUCCAUCUAAAGCUAAAUAUUGGCGAGAGACCGAUAGCGAACAAGUACAGUGAUGGAAAGAUGAAAAGAACUUUGAAAAGAGAGUGAAAAAGUACGUGAAAUUGUUGAAAGGGAAGGGCAUUUGAUCAGACAUGGUGUUUUGUGCCCUCUGCUCCUUGUGGGUAGGGGAAUCUCGCAUUUCACUGGGCCAGCAUCAGUUUUGGUGGCAGGAUAAAUCCAUAGGAAUGUAGCUUGCCUCGGUAAGUAUUAUAGCCUGUGGGAAUACUGCCAGCUGGGACUGAGGACUGCGACGUAAGUCAAGGAUGCUGGCAUAAUGGUUAUAUGCCGCCCGUCUUGACACAGGAACCCA